rnacentral:rRNA from 1 species
AUGGGGGACCCGGAUAAGUGUGAUAUCGUGCGUAACCUUAUAGCUUCCACUGAUCCCGUCAUCGCUUGCGUUCAGGAGACCAAGCUGGCCACCCUCCCCGCGUGCAAAGCCCGCUCGUUCCUCCCUGGGCGCCUUGCUUCGUUUGUCUCCAAGGAUGCCGAUGGGAGUCGGGGUGGCAUCACCACCGCUUGGGAUGCCCGCCUGUUCUCCUUAGUCUCCUCCUUCGCUUCGGCUUUCACGCUGUCCACGUCCUUCUCCUCCACUACCACCCCGCUCUCUUUCACCGUAACGAACGUCUACGCGCCCUCGGAUCAUGCUCUCACUAUGGAAUUUGUAGAGGACCUCACCGCGGUCUCCUCGGAUAUUCCCGGGCCUUGGAUUGCUAUUGGGGAUUUCAAUCUGAUUAGGGCUCCCCGUGAGAAGAGUAACAAUAACUUUGAUGCUUCGAGGGCCGCUGUCUUCAACUCUCUCAUCAACUCCCUGGCCUUGCAUGAGCUGGCCCUGACGGAUCGCCGUUUCACAUGGAUGAACCGA